GUCUACUGCCAUGCUGCCCUGAACAAGCCCGAUCCUGUCUGAUCUCGGAAGCUAAGCAGGGUCGGGCCUUGGAUAAGGGACCACCUAGGAAGACCAGGUGCUAUAGGUG
rnacentral:rRNA from 1 species